GGAGGCUCAGUGGUAGAGUGCUUGCCUUGCAUGCAUGAGGACCUGGGUUCAAUACCUCAGCACCA
rnacentral:tRNA from 1 species